AAAACGACUCUCGGCAACGGAUAUCUCGGCUCUCGCAUCGAUGAAGAACGUAGCGAAAUGCGAUACUUGGUGUGAAUUGCAGAAUCCCGCGAACCAUCGAGUCUUUGAACGCAAGUUGCGCCCGAAGCCAUUAGGUCGAGGGCACGUCUGCCUGGGCGUCUCAC
rnacentral:rRNA from 1 species